UGGGGAAUAUUGCGCAAUGGGGGAAACCCUGACGCAGCAACGCCGCGUGAUUGAAGAAGGUCUUCGGAUUGUAAAAAUCUUUUAUCAAGGACGAAGAAGUGACGGUACUUGAUGAAUAAGCUCCGGCUAACUACGUGCCAGCAGCCGCGGUAAUACGUAGGGAGCAAGCGUUAUCCGGAUUUACUGGGUGUAAAGGGAGCGUAGGCGGCUUUGCAAGUCAGAUGUGAAAGCCCGGGGCUCAACCCCGGGACUGCAUUUGAAACUGUGAAGCUGGAGUGUCGGAGAGGUAAGUGGAAUUCCUAGUGUAGCGGUGAAAUGCGUAGAUAUUAGGAAGAACACCAGUGGCGAAGGCGGCUUACUGGACGAUUACUGACGCUGAGGCUCGAAAGCGUGGGGAGCAAACAGGAUUAGAUACCCUGGUAGU
rnacentral:rRNA from 1 species